rnacentral:rRNA from 1 species
UACGUAGGGGGCAAGCGUUGUCCGGAAUCAUUGGGCGUAAAGAGCGCGUAGGCGGCCCAGUAAGUCCGCUCUGAAAGUCAGGGGCUCAACCCCUGGAUGCGGGUGGAUACUGCUGGGCUAGAGUCCGGAAGAGGUGAGUGGAAUUCCUGGUGUAGCGGUGAAAUGCGCAGAUAUCAGGAGGAACACCGGUGGCGAAGGCGGGUCUCUGGGCCGAUACUGACGCUGAGGCGCGAAAGCCAGGGGAGCGAACGGG